rnacentral:rRNA from 1 species
CCCUACGUGAGGCAGCAGUAGGGAAUCUUCCACAAUGGACGAAAGUCUGAUGGAGCAACGCCGCGUGAGUGAAGAAGGGUUUCGGCUCGUAAAGCUCUGUUGGUAGUGAAGAAAGAUAGAGGUAGUAACUGGCCUUUAUUUGACGGUAAUUACUUAGAAAGUCAUGGCUAACUACGUGCCAGCAGCCGCGGUAAUACGUAGGUGGCAAGAGUUGUCCGGAUUUAUUGGGCGUAAAGCGAGUGCAGGCGGUUCAAUAAGUUGGAUGGGAAAGCCUUCGGCUCAACCGGAGAAUUGCAUCAGAAACUGUUGAACUUGAGUGCAGAAGAGGAGAGUGGAACUCCAUGUGUAGCGGUGGAAUGCGUAGAUAUAUGGAAGAACACCAGUGGCGAAGGCGGCUCUCUGGUCUGCAACUGACGCUGAGGCUCGAAAGCAUGGGUAGCGAACAGGAUUAGAUACCCGAGUAGUC